CAGUGGUAUAAUUUAUUCAAACUUGUGUAGCAAACUUUUUCAUUCUAUUUUUUAUCCAAUUUUCUAUCCUUAGUAGUGCUGGCAAUCAUGUUUGAUGGCUGUUUUGGUCAUCACUCAUAACUUCUUAACCCUUUACUCCAUGGAUAUUUUUUUUUUAUAUACUUGAUUCGCAUAGGAUUUUUUUCAGUAAAAAAAAUCAUCAGGUUUAAAGUGUUAAUGCAUUGUGAAAACUAAUAUUUCAUCAAUGAAAUUCAAGUCAGAUAUUCUCAUGAAUCUCCUUUUCAUAUUGGAUACAAUUUUUUUUUAAGUCUGAUGCAGACAUUUUGGAGACAUAGCGUUUCAACUGAGGUACUACACAGGCGUCAAAAAGCGUCAUUAUGGAAUAAAGGGGGUGGCGUCAAAAGGCGUCAUUAUGGAGGAAAGGGUUAAGGAAGUCAUUAAGUUUUAAUUUUCUAAUUUUAAGUCAUAUGAAAGUUAUCAG
rnacentral:lncRNA from 1 species